rnacentral:rRNA from 1 species
AUACGGAGGGUGCAAGCGUUAUUCGGAAUCACGGGGCGUAAAGGACGCGUAGGCGGGUUGGCAAGUCAGAUGUGAAAUCCUACAGCUUAACUGUAGAACUGCAUUCGAAACUGCUAACCUAGAGUAUGGGAGGGGGAGAUGGAAUUAGUGGUGUAGGGGUAAAAUCCGUAGAUAUCACUAGGAAUACCGAAAGCGAAGGCGAUCUCCUGGAACAUAACUGACGCUAAGGCGUGAAAGCGUGGGGAGCAAACAGGAUUAGAAACCCUAGUAGUCC